rnacentral:rRNA from 1 species
UACAGAGACUGCAAGCGUUAUUCGGAUUCACUGGGCGUAAAGGGUGCGCAGGCGGCCGGGUGUGUCAGAUGUGAAAUCCCGAGGCUUAACCUCGGAACUGCGUCUGAAACUACUCGGCUAGAGUACUGGAGAGGGAAACGGAAUUCACGGUGUAGCAGUGAAAUGCGUAGAUAUCGUAAGGAAGACCAGUGGCGAAGGCGAAUCUCUGGACAGUUACUGACACUGAGGCACGAAGGCCAGGGGAGCAAACGGG